rnacentral:tRNA from 1 species
GCCCGAGUAGCUCAGCGGUAGAGCAGCGCUUUCGUAAAGCGAAGGUCGUAGGUUCGAUUCCUAUCUUGGGCACCA